GCCCUGGCUGGCCGGUCCGCCUCACCGCGAGUACUGGUCCGGCUGGGGCUUUCCUUCUGGGGAACCUCAUGGCCUUCACUGGCUGUGGGGGGAACCAGGACUUUUACUGUGAAAAAAUUAGAGUGUUCAAAGCAGGCAUUUGCUCGAAUACAUUAGCAUGGAAUAAUAGAAUAGGACGUG
rnacentral:rRNA from 1 species